UAAAAACAUCAAUAAGCUCUUACGCUGAUUUGCAGAAUGAAAAAUGAAGAAAUUAAAUGCAGUUAAGUUUUAAUUUGUAAUAGAAACACAUUAGAAUGGUCAGGAGAUGUUCUACAAAUGUGAUAUGCAAGUCAGCGUAUCAGCUUAUUGAUGUUUUUAGAAUGAUUUAUGAUUAUUUUGAUAAUUUUCCUGGUGUGAACUUGGCUGUAGAAAACGAGAAUGGUGUGCGCAUCGAUUGUCUGGUCAACUGUAAUUUUCAUGGGCCAGCACCAUCGACAUCCAAUUUGUGACGUCUGGCCACUUGACGUUUAUUUCCCUGAAUUUGCAAAUUAUUGUUAGGGUUUAUUUUUAAUAAAAUGAGUGAAAAACGGGUGGUCAUAUUCAGGAACGGAACGAACACGCAUGGAAAAGUUUUCGCACUUCCUCAAACCUUGGAAGAGUUAAUGAGCCAGGAGUAUUUAAGGUUUAACUCGAAAGUCCGUCGUUUGUUGUUAAGGUGCACACGAAACACGAUCUAAGCGUAAUUUAACUGAAUAUGCCAAAUUAAAUCUGGUGGACGAUUAAAGUAAAAAAAUGGCUUAGUUGUGAAGUGAAGUGCCGACGCGUUUUCCGUGAGAGAUUGAAGAUCAUACAAAUUAACUAUAAUAAAGCAUUGGGAAGAGAAGCUUGCAGUUUUUGAGUAUGUGGUUUAUGAAUGAUGGAAUGAACGAAACAUGGCAUAAACAUGAACUAAUUAAUGAUUUUGUUAAGACUGAAGUUGAAGUGUGCGAUCAAGAGGGGGUUGUUACACGUGACAGUAUUGUACAGACUAUCGAAUUACGAGACAGGAGUAAGCAACGAGGGUGUUCGAAAGAAUACAGUAUUGUAAUUGGGCGUAAAAGAAAAAAUAAAGGAAAAAUAAGGUCUUUUAUGUACCACCUAUGAUGUGAUAUUUUAUUGUUAUUUUUAUUAUUUUCAAUUUUUUGUGAUUAAAAAAUUUCUAUAAAAAAUUAACUUUA